rnacentral:lncRNA from 1 species
GGAAGGGAGAGUGAGAGAGAGACUUGUGCAUUGGAGAGAGGCGGUGGGGUUGCCUGUAGAGGUGACAAUCAUCACUCCCCAAUCAGUCAUCAAUCAGUCCCCAAUCAGAAGACACCUGUUCUUUUUCCCUCCAACAAUCACAUCCCCCUUCCCUUGGUUUAAAAACCCAGACAGUUGUUUUCUCCCCAGAUCAAUCUCUCUGUAGCUCAUUCUCACUCUCUGUGUUCAUUCUCUCUCAAGCUCUCACUAUAUCUCUCUCUUUGUGUAUUGAUCCCUUUUGUUUUUGCAACUACAUGUCACUUUGUCCAUCCCACCUGUGAGU